UUCCUACGGGUGGCUGCAGUGGGGAAUUUUGGACAAUGGGCGCAAGCCUGAUCCAGCCAUGCCGCGUGCGGGAAGAAGGCCUUCGGGUUGUAAACCGCUUUUGUCAGGGAAGAAAUCCUUUGGGUUAAUACCCCGGGGGGAUGACGGUACCUGAAGAAUAAGCACCGGCUAACUACGUGCCAGCAGCCGCGGUAAUACGUAGGGUGCAAGCGUUAAUCGGAAUUACUGGGCGUAAAGCGUGCGCAGGCGGUUUUGUAAGACAGAGGUGAAAUCCCCGGGCUCAACCUGGGAACUGCCUUUGUGACUGCAAGGCUUGAGUGCGGCAGAGGGGGAUGGAAUUCCGCGUGUAGCAGUGAAAUGCGUAGAUAUGCGGAGGAACACCGAUGGCGAAGGCAAUCCCCUGGGCCUGCACUGACGCUCAUGCACGAAAGCGUGGGGAGCAAACAGGAUUAGAUACCCUAGUAGUCG
rnacentral:rRNA from 1 species